AGGAAUUAUGUGUAGUUAUGGAAUUAUGCUUCCUCUCCUUUGAAAUCAUAUUAUUAGCAAUGGAACAGGUCUCAGCCUCACAACAUCUAAAUUCUGGGUGUGUUAGUGAAGCACAG